AUGGAUGUGGCAUCCUUGACUCACCUGGUUCCGUGGAUGUGGCAUCCCUGGGAGGCACAGGCAGGAAAACCCCGAGGAUUUGGGUCUGUGCCUGGCCCAGAGGGGUGAGUGUUGCUCGUGGCUCUUGCAGAAGCGGGUGUGCCAGCUGCUGGACACCAUUCCCCAGGAGGCUGGUGCCCAGCUCGUGGGCUGUGCCAUGGAUGUGGAUUCCAGGCAGAAACUCCUCCCUGACUCUGCUCCCUGGGCUGCAAGGACAAAGCAGAAUUCCGUGAUUUUGGAAAAUGGUGGGAGCAAAGGCAUUUCCCAGCCCUGCCCGAGAUGUGUUGCUGGAGAAUCUGGCCACUUCAGUCACAUCCUGGGCUUCUAGAGGAGGAGAGGGGCCAGAGGAGCAGCUCGGAUUUCCUGCUGGGGUGCCCAGGGUGCAGCUGGGUCCUGCCCUGCCCUGCCCUGCUGCCACCCUGGGCACGACUGGUGCACUCCUACACCUGCCCAAAAUGCUUCUGCUCCUCAGGUGCCUCAGGGCUGGUCCAAAAAGGAUGAGAAAAAUGCAGAUUUCAUGUUUAGGUAGCUCAAAAAUUGUUUUGAAAGGACAAGAAAAUGCAGAUUUCAUGUUUAAGUAGCUCAGAAAUUGUCUAAAAAGGACAAGAAAAUGGUGAUUUCAUGUUUAGCUCAGAAUUUGUUCAUAAAGGACAAGAAAAAGGCAGAUUUCAUGUUUAGGUAGCUCAGAAAUUGUUUUAAAUGGACAAGGAAAGGCAGAUUUUGUGUUUUAGCCUGGUUAGGUUGAGCUGCCUUGGGCCCAGGCUUCACUUGGGCCAGGUGUGGUGUUGAUUCCAGAGGUUUUCCCAACAGCCCUGACUCCUUUGGAAAAUCCUCCUUGUGCAGGGCCACAGGCAGGAGUGGGAGGACACAAAUUUUCAUUUUUGAGUGGCUUUGCAGCUGUGAAGUCCAGGGAAAACCCCACUGAAGCUUACAUUUAAAUCCCCCAAAAAAAUCCGUUUACAAAGGCUUGACCUCAUCACCCAGCAGGCUUUUAUUGGCACAAAUCUAAUGAGAGGUUAAUUAACCUCUGAAAGGUUAAUUUUGGGGGUUAUCAGGCUGCAAAAUCCUCAGGCAAAGGUGUUUUGCAGUCCUUGAGUCCUUCCCAUGUGGGGUGUGGAGCUGGAGUCAGCACUGAGUUGAGAUAUUCUCAAUAAAUAAAUGAAUAUCACAUAAAUACUGUUUAAC
rnacentral:lncRNA from 1 species